rnacentral:rRNA from 1 species
AUUGAACGCUGGCGGCAUGCCUUACACAUGCAAGUCGAACGGCAGCACGGGGCAACCUGGUGGCGAGUGGCGAACGGGUGAGUAAUGCAUCGGAACGUACCUUUCAGUGGGGGAUAACGUAGCGAAAGUUACGCUAAUACCGCAUAUUCUGUGAGCAGGAAAGCAGGGGAUCGCAAGACCUUGCGCUGAUUGAGCGGCCGAUGUCAGAUUAGCUAGUUGGUGAGGUAAAGGCUCACCAAGGCGACGAUCUGUAGCGGGUCUGAGAGGAUGAUCCGCCACACUGGAACUGAGACACGGUCCGGACUCCUACGGGAGGCAGCAGUGGGGAAUUUUGGACAAUGGGGGCAACCCUGAUCCAGCCAUGCCGCGUGAGUGAAGAAGGCCUUCGGGUUGUAAAGCUCUUUCGGCCGGGAAGAAAUCGCACGGGCUAAUACCCUGUGUGGAUGACGGUACCGGAAUAAGAAGCACCGGCUAACUACGUGCCAGCAGCAGCCGCCGCGG